rnacentral:rRNA from 1 species
UAAUGUAUGGGGAUCUGCCCGAUAGAGGGGGAUAACUACUGGAAACGGUGGCUAAUACCGCAUAAUGUCUACGGACCAAGGCAGGGGCUCUUCGGACCUUGCACUAUCGGAUGAACCCAUAUGGGAUUAGCUAGUAGGUGGGGUAAAGGCUCACCUAGGCGACGAUCUCUAGCUGGUCUGAGAGGAUGAUCAGCCACACUGGGACUGAGACACGGCCCAG